rnacentral:rRNA from 1 species
UACGAAGGGGGCUAGCGUUGCUCGGAAUUACUGGGCGUAAAGGGCGCGUAGGCGGCGGUGUCAGUCAGGCGUGAAAUUCCUGGGCUUAACCUGGGGGCUGCGCUUGAUACGGCACUGCUAGAGGUCAGAAGAGGCUCGUGGAAUUCCCAGUGUAGAGGUGAAAUUCGUAGAUAUUGGGAAGAACACCGGUGGCGAAGGCGGCGAGCUGGUCUGAUACUGACGCUGAGGCGCGACAGCGUGGGGAGCAAAC